rnacentral:lncRNA from 1 species
ACCAAAUCCAAUUUGGCUCAAAUUGGUUCUAAAUUAGCCCAAAUCGGAACCCGAUUCGAAUUCGAUUCGAAUCUAAAUGCUAGGGUUUGCAACAUGUGCUAGCAUGUUCAACUUGCAAACAUGGUUUAAUCAAAUUAAACCCAUGAUCAAUUCUCUUUGUGUGUGACCCAUUGAGUUCCAUAUCUAGCCAGCAGUGAGUCCAGGUACAAUUUAAACUAAUUUGGUUAGAACACAAUCUAGCCGAUUUAGGUCAAAUCAAGCUGAACCAUUUUGAUCAAUCAGAACAGCUUUUAAUUAAUGAUCGAAUUAAACUCUUUAAUUUGAUCAAACUUACAAGACAUGAUUGACGUCUAGCAACGUAUCAUGUCU